rnacentral:rRNA from 1 species
ACGCUGGCGGCGUGCCUAAUACAUGCAAGUAGAACGCUGAAGGAGGAGCUUGCUUCUCUGGAUGAGUUGCGAACGGGUGAGUAACGCGUAGGUAACCUGCCUGGUAGCGGGGGAUAACUAUUGGAAACGAUAGCUAAUACCGCAUAACAGUAGAUGUUGCAUGACAUUUGCUUAAGAGGUGCAAUUGCAUCACUACCAGAUGGACCUGCGUUGUAUUAGCUAGUUGGUGGGGUAACGGCUCACCAAGGCGACGAUACAUAGCCGACCUGAGAGGGUGAUCGGCCACACUGGGACUGAGACACGGCCCAGACUCCUACGGGAGGCAGCAGUAGGGAAUCUUCGGCAAUGGACGGAAGUCUGACCGAGCAACGCCGCGUGAGUGAAGAAGGUUUUCGGAUCGUAAAGCUCUGUUGUAAGAGAAGAACGAGUGUGAGAGUGGAAAGUUCACACUGUGACGGUAUCUUACCAGAAAGGGACGGCUAACUACGUGCCAGCAGCCGCGGUAAUACGUAGGUCCCGAGCGUUGUCCGGAUUUAUUGGGCGUAAAGCGAGCGCAGGCGGUUAGAUAAGUCUGAAGUUAAAGGCUGUGGCUUAACCAUAGUACGCUUUGGAAACUGUUUAACUUGAGUGCAAGAGGGGAGAGUGGAAUUCCAUGUGUAACGGUGAAAUGCGUAGAUAUAUGGAGGAACACCGGUGGCGAAGGCGGCUCUCUGGCUUGUAACUGACGCUGAGGCUCGAAAGCGUGGGGAGCAAACAGGAUUAGAUACCCUGGUAGUCCACGCCGUAAACGAUGAGUGCUAGGUGUUAGACCCUUUCCGGGGUUUAGUGCCGUAGCUAACGCAUUAAGCACUCCGCCUGGGGAGUACGACCGCAAGGUUGAAACUCAAAGGAAUUGACGGGGGCCCGCAC